rnacentral:lncRNA from 1 species
AGUACUUCCUCAGUUACAUUAGCUGCAUUUCCAAUUUUAUUUUUAUUAUUUGUUAUUAUUAUUAUUAUUUUUGGCUGUGCACGUGGCAUGCAGAAGUUCCCAGGCCAGGGAUCGAAUUCACACCACAGCAGUGACAAUGCCAGAUGUUUAACUGCUAGGCCACCAGGGAAUUCCUAUAAUUUGACCCUCAAUAUUUUAUUAACUUCAGAGUCUAUAAAACUGGUUGGAAAGACCAUAUCUUGUGCCUCUUUGAAUCCUUUUAAACUUGGUUUAGUAAUGCUGAUCAUCAUAAUGAUGAUGAUUCUGAGACUUACAGAGCAUUUACAAGGCAUUCUCAGUCAUCUCAUUGGAUCCUUACAAACUAAAAGUUAGGCAUGGCCAUUGCCACUUUUACAGAUGACAAAACUGACUGCAGAGACACAAAGUGAUUUUUGCCUAAGGCCACCUAGCUAGUAAGUGACGGAGCCAGAGCUGAAGCUCAAGACUAUGGAUUCCAGAUGUCAUGCUUCCUCCUCUUAGGUUUUUGCUGCCUGUGGGUUCUGAAAGCCUUUCCAGCACUUACGGGAGGAUGCUCCUCCCCACCCCACCCCAUGCAGACCCAUUCGAAGAGCACUCCAUCUCCAUCCAACAAUUAUCUAAGUUGAAGUCGUCCAUCCUGCAUUUUUAAGUUAUUUUCCAGAUAAUGAACAUUUUUAACCAAUACAGGGUGCCCGAUACUAAUCACACAGAGCAAUCCGUAGGUGUAGGAAUUGCAUUUACCUUCCAAGCCCUAAUUGUGUUCAUUUCUUUGGGAGAACUUCUUCAACUGCCUGUCUUCAAGAGACUCUUAAAGCUCCCAAGAAAUUGCUAAGUGAUACUAGGAAUACACUUGCCUGAAUCUAGAGAUUUUGGGUAAGUAGCCUCUAAUUUAUCAUUUUACAUUACAGAAAGCCUGGAGAAUUAUAUAAAAGCCUUUGGCUUUUGCAGCUGUAUGUAAAAAUAUUCCCAAACUAGAGGAGCCCUCGAUCAUUAAUGAUGUCUAAACACUGACCCUGGAGAAAUCACUGUGUGUCUAGUCAUUCCCAAGGACAUGCCAGCUGUAAAAGCCAUGCAAGGAAGUACCUCCACCAGCAGGCCCUUGUCUUCUUUCCCAGACUUAAGCUGUCAGUGGAAAAGAGGUAAACAGAGACAGAAGUUGAGAACUCAGUCUCUGGAGUCGGGCCAGGCUGGGUGUGACCCUAGCUCCACCCCUUACCAGCUGUGGGGCUUAUGCAUAUCGCUUAACUUCAUUCAUCGAUUCCACAAAUAGUUGCUCAGUGAGCACCUACUAAAUGCCAGCUGACCAUUGUAGGUACUGAGACAAAGGAGUGAAAAAACAAAACUAUUGGAGUUCCUGAUGUGGCACAAAGGAACAUCAGUGGUGUCUUGGGAGCGCUGUGACUCAGGUUUAAUUCCAGAUAGGCACAGUGGGUUAAGAAUCAGGCAUUGCUGCAGCUCAAUAUUUAGCCUCGAUUUUAGAUUUUAAAAACAUUUGGUAUUGCUUGUUUAUAUUUUGAGCCACUCCAAAACCCUGCUUUUUAGAAAAUUCUUGAGGGAUUUCCCUCAGUGGGGCAUGUAUGAGAAACAGUCUCUGGAGCUUUGGGCCACAUGGACGGGAACUGUGAGGGCAACGGGAGAGUUACGUCCACUUGGUGAACACAGCCAUGGUCAUGAUCAGAACUUGCUCAGGUGGCCUUUGCACAGAUAUUCAUAGAAGAGCUUCCUUUUCGGUUUUAUUCUGAAGGGAUUCUGCUGAUACUAUUUUUACCACUGGAAUUUCUGUCUGCCCAGAACACAAUUUUAAAGUUUCAAAUGAAACAUUUACCUGAAUCCCUGACAUUACAGCUCACAUUCAUUUCCUUUCCUCUUGCCCUCCAGGUCUCAGCAGUGAGAUGGCCCAGCCAAGAAAGAGAUCCCCCCCCACUCCUGCUCAGAUCUGAUACCUGGGCUUUUCCUUGGGCCUCUCUGGGAUGUACCAAAACCCAAAGCCCAUGUACUGGCCAACCCUCCUUGGUACAGACACCAGGUCCAGAAUCACUCUGUCUUUGACAGUCAAGUGCACGGUCCUUUUCUCCUGCUCCCAAAGGAUCACACUAUCCUUCCUUGGUCUUUUUGUCAUUGAGAAUCCAUUUCCCAUUGGGAUCUGGAGUUCACUUCCUUGCUUCAAAUUUUUGAGAUGGGUUGAAACAAUAAGUAAGGUCAAAUUGUAUGAAAUUGCCAAAUAUCAGCUAUUUUUUUUUUUUUUUUUUAACCUAAAGGAAGGAAGGAGGGGAGGAAGAAAAGCUUAAAGAAGCCAGGGCUGGAAAUAGGUAACUACUCAUCUAUUCUGCUCUUUAAUGAUAAUUGUAGUUGAUGGAAUGUUUCCUCUUUAUGAAGUACUGGGCCAAGCAAAAUUUUACAUACAUCAUCUCAGUCAUUGUAGCAAGUGCAUGAAGUCCAGCUCCCUCUAUCAUCUCAUUCAAUUUCCAGUUUAAGGAUGCAAAACUGAGGGUUAGAGUUGUCAAGAGUCUUUCCCAAGGUCCUUCAACUCUAACCAGAGAAGCCAAGAGCUAUAUGCUAUAUCUUCUAUGUGACAAGGAUGGAUUACAAAUCAUUAAUCUCAAUAACUUCCACUACCUUCUUGUAAUCACCUAUGUUGUCAUUAUUAUAAGAGUAAUAGUGUUCAAUAUAGGAAAUCUGAAAAUUGUAUAACAUAUGACAGAAAAAAAUUAAAAAUGCAUAAAUCAAAGAUAAGUUCUACUAAUAUUCUGGAGUCUCUCUCAUUCUGUUUUUCUGAUUUAUUCUGCUUUUUAACAAAUUUGGAAUUGUCCUGUUUAUAUUGCUUUGUACCCUGCCUUAAAAAAAUAAAUACUAUGUCAUGAGUAUUAUUCCAAAUCAUUAAAAAUUCUCCAAAAAAGUGUUUGGUCGCAUUAUAUUGAUAUAUAAGUACUAUAACAUUAAUUGUUCAAUUGUUUUCUUCUUGUUGGAAAAUAAGUUCAUGUAUUUUGCUGUUAUAUGAUAAAGAUCCUUGAACAAAAGUCUCUGUUUUUAGUCCCCAGUGGCAGCCAAGUUUGUCUUAGAGAUGAUCUCCUUCUGACAAAUGUCAUCAGUUACAUUUUCUGGUUGUUUAGUCACAAUGGAGUUGAUACAGCACACCUGCUGGGAGCUGACACAGCUGUGCCUGUGGUGUGAGGGCCAGGCCAAAGGCCAACAACGGGCAGAGUGGCUGGACCUGCAGCCACUGCCCACUCGGUGCUGCUCUGGGCUCAGCCUGGUGAGGACUUCCUGGGGGAAGUGGGAGGAGCAGAGUGGCGGAAGCAGGGAGAGCGCAAGUGUGGCUACUGUCCUGCACCCCUGAGAGCUCACCAGCGGCACAGAGCAGCUCACCUUGGUCCAGCCUUGGCACGUAGGGUGGCACCUAUCAUGUGGCUUGGGACACUGCACAUGUCCUCAGGCCUUCCUUCUGCAGCACACUUUCUAACCACCACAAACAAAACAGAGGACAGUGAGCAAAACACUUCCUUUUAGUUCCUCUUACCUUCCUUCAAUCCCCAAACCUACUUGUAAGUGGUCAAACUCACUUUCCCCACUCAGAGAAGAAAGGAGGGGGCUGACUUCUUUCACUGGGGACAGGGAGAAGAAAGGAAAGGGAAGAAGGCAGAAACAUAGCCAUUAGACUACAUUACCAGUUUCAUCUCUGGCUUCAUGCUUUCUUUCCUAAAGACUCACAUUUUGUAAUAUUUUAAAGCACUUAACUCAGUAAGAUUUAUUGAAUGUGUACUAUGUGCAAAGCACUGUGUUUAAGGCAGUGGAGAAUGGAAAUGGCCAAGGCCUAUCUUAAAAAAAAAAAAAAAAAAAA